ensembl:lncRNA
ACUAGUUUAAUUAAGUAUAGUUCACUACUCCACAACACUAAAAGGCUUGUAUGUUGAAAUAAAACUUCUACAAGCGUUGCUGUCCAUCAGGAAUUUGUUCAAAUUUUACCCUUGUUCCUUUUUCUGGCCCUGAAAAGUACCUGCAAAUACAUGAAAAGCACCUGACACACAGUGACAGAACAAAGUGCUUUGGAGGAUGGACUGUUUAGUGUUUUUCGAAUUACUCCAUCAUACUUUGGAGACAUACCUGUCACCUGUCAACCAAAAUGGCAUUUUUCACCUUUUACUGAAAGUGAGUGCCCCGUGGCUGAGAGCUCUGAAGCCCCUAAACUAAAGCAAGAAGAGGAAGACAGUCAGUUAAAGUCACAAGGGAAGGGAAGGGAAGCUCUCCACUGCCGGAACCUUGCUGACUUCUUCUAUUUACUCUCGUUCUCCAGUUCAGUGACCACCUCUGAAUCAACUGACUGCGGUGUCAUGGGACCCGAUGGCACAGUAAACAACAAGAGCUUUGGCUGCAGUGCUGUUACUCUUGUUGUGCUUUUUACAAGACUAAGCAACACACACAGCAAAGUGAGAGAAUAGCUGGAGAUACACAGGGAUGGAAUGACUAGCGGGAAUAGUGAGAAUCAGGCAUAUUAUUGUUUGCAUUCCCCAGGAUCUGGAUGAGGUCUCUCCACAGGCCAAUGCCCCCUCGUGACCCCUGAAACAGCUGCAUGAAGCGAAGGAGGCGGUGGUAAUUGCAGGUGGCUAUCUCCUUCUCAAACAGUGAAAGCAGAAAGGGAGAGAGGGGGGAUAUCACAUUUCCAAGGCCUUCCAGCUCAUUUUCUCAUGGUCAGUUGCUUUACUCUGCACUCUCACUCUCUCUCUCUCUCUCUCUCUCUCUGCUGAUAUCUUAAUUUGCGGACUGAGAGGGAGGGAUGGCCCUUGUGGACCUUGAAAAUGGUUUGGAAACAGCCUCUGUGUCCAAGAAACCGGGGCACAGUUAGAGUGCGGCCCAGAGUGUUGUUGGAGUUCAGAUGCUCCAAAACAAGAAUGAUGCGAUCAGAAGUUGUGUUAGCGGUCAUGUGUGUCUUGCACACAUGAUUUAGGUGCUCUUAAAUUACUUUCCUGUAUUUUUGCAGUAUGUUUACUCAAAAUGUUUACUCAAAUGUUUGUCCCCAUAGCUAAAUACAAACCGAAGCUAAAUAGCUCAAGGGUCAGAAACACAAAGGUGUUCGGGAGUAGACCUGUCUUUUACAUGAUUUCAAAAUUACUCCAACACAAAAAGGUCAGUCAUCUUAGAUGGUCUCCUAUUCCAGUCAAAGUGCCACUGGUGUCACUGUUUCUACACUGGUUGUCUGCAGUGUCAGCAGUGACAUCCUGUUACGUAACUGCUGGUAUACAGAUGCCCCAGAGUCAAAUAACACAACACAUUCAAGUUAUUUAGACGCACCUAAUGAUCACCAAAUGCAGCCACAAGUCUAAUCACAUUUAUUGCUUUUCUGCCAUUUUGCCACUGAUGGUUGAUAUGGUUCCAAGAAGAACAGGCUGUUUUAUUACUGGUCUGACAUGGGGCAACUGAUGUGGCACUACCGGUUUGAUAAAUGGUGAUGUGGUAAUGCCCUUUCCUCCUUUGAUCUCUUGGGAAAGCACACUUGCAUAAAACAUGUAAUUACUUUGAAGUUAAUCAUAAACAUAGUAGGCCAUUGGAAUUUUGGCAAUAUUGGUUGGUAUGGCACUAGUGACAGCUGUCCCUUAAGAAGGUAAUAUGUGGUAAUAAAUAAUGAUAAUGAUAAUGCUUCCUCUUUUUUGUUUGUCUUUUAGAGGAUAGCAUAUUAAAGGAUAGCGUAGCACCUCACUCUUAUCUUAUGCCUAAAUGCGCCUAAAUGUUGUGUUCCUCUUAUAUGAAUGUGUACAUCAAUACAAAUUUAAAUAUGAUUGAACACUUUCAACAUCAUUGAUUUGUUGGACAUGAUCAUUUGAAUAAUUUCAAGUACAUUUUAAACAGAUGUACUUGACAACUGAUUAUUUUGUAGCUUGGUUAGGUUUUAGGGGUACAGUGAGGAAAUGUUAGUCUAGGUUUGGUCUAAUGACAUUAAAUUGACCAUCUGUUGAUAUCCAAUCCUCUAUUCACUCUCUGUCAUUUGGUAUAAUUACGUGGUAGUCAAUAGAGUUUUACUGUGUG